UACGGGGGGAGCAAGCGUUGUUCGGAAUUACUGGGCGUAAAGGGCUCGUAGGCGGCCAACUAAGUCGGAUGUGAAAUCCCCAGGCUUAACCUGGGAACUGCAUCCGAUACUGGAUGGCUUGAAUCCGGGAGAGGGAUGUAGAAUUCCAGGUGUAGCGGUGAAAUGCGUAGAUAUCUGGAGGAAUACCGGUGGCGAAGGCGGCAUCCUGGACCGGCAUUGACGCUGAUGAGCGAAAGCUAGGGGAGCAAACGGG
rnacentral:rRNA from 1 species